GACAGAGGGUGCAAACGUUGUUCGGAAUUACUGGGCGUAAAGCGUGCGCAGGCGGUGAUGUAAGACAGUUGUGAAAUCCCCGGGCUCAACCUGGGAACUGCAUCUGUGACUGCAUCGCUGGAGUGCGGCAGAGGGGGAUGGAAUUCCGCGUGUAGCAGUGAAAUGCGUAGAUAUGCGGAGGAACACCGAUGGCGAAGGCAAUCCCCUGGGCCUGCACUGACGCUCAUGCACGAAAGCGUGGGGAGCAAACAGG
rnacentral:rRNA from 1 species